rnacentral:rRNA from 1 species
GUAUUAAAGGUGUUGCCUGCCCAGUGAAACAUUUUCAACGGCCGCGGUAUCCUAACCGUGCAAAGGUAGCGUAAUCACUUGUCUUUUAAAUAAAGACUCGUAUGAAAGGCUAAAUGAGGACAAACCUGUCUCUUAUAGUUGACCAGUUAAACUGAUCUUCAAGUACAAAAGCUUGGAUUAACCCAUAAGACGAGAAGACCCUGUGGAGCUUAAAACUGACACUAUAUUAACAAAUAGCCCAAGUUUUAAGUUGGGGCGACUUCGGAACAAAACAAAACUUCCGAGCACAGAGCCACCCACUCUUACCCAGACCAACAAGUCAAAGCACAAUAUGACCCAGUCUUACUGAACAUCGAACCAAGUUACCCCAGGGAUAACAGCGCCAUCUUCUUCAAGAGUUCAUAUCGACAAGAAGGUUUACGACCUCGAUGUUGGAUCAGGACACCCAAAUGGUGCAGCAG